GCUCUUCCUAAAAUCCAUAGCAUUUUUUAUUCAAAGUUGUCAAUUUUGCCUGCUAUGAACUUCCUCUUUUAAACAUCUGAUCAAACUACCUGAUAGUUCAAAUAGAAGAGCAGGAAAUAAAAUUACACCUGAAAGUUAUGUAAGUUUUAAAGUUAGUUUUUUCACUUCCUGCAGGUGAAAGGAAUCAUUUAAUUGAUUUAACGACAACAGGUGAAUGAAGUAAACUGAUGUUUCUUUUGAAGUUUAGCUACUUCCUUUCUGCCAGUUGUUUACUAUAGUAAAAUGAUCAGAAAAACUUCAUGCAUUUUCACAUGUAAUAUUUUAUUUUUAAAUGUAUAAAGACAUGGCUUUGGUCAUGAUUGUUUAUAGAGGUCAGAUAAUGCAAAUAACAAGAGUAAAUUUGUAUUUUUUUUUUUUGAGACAGAGUUUCACUCCUGUUGCCCAGGCUGGAGUGCAAUUGCAUGAUCUUGACUCACUGCAACCUCCACCUGCUGGGUUCAAGCGAUUCUCUUGCCUCAGCCUCCCGAGUAGCUGGCAUUACAGGUGCCUGCCACCACACCCAGCUAAUUUUUGUACUUUUUUAGUAGAGACGGGGUUUCAACAUGUUGGCCAGGCUGGUCUCGAACUCCUGACCUCCGGUGAUCCACCCGCUUCGGCCUCCCAAAUUUCUGGGAUUACAGGCAUGAGCCACUGUGCCCAGCCAAAUUUGUAUUUUUUUAAAGAUGAUGUCUGAUUUUUUUAAAGACGAGGUCUCACUGUGUGGCCCAGGCUGAUGUUAAACUCCUGAGCUCAAGCAAUCCUCCUGCUUCAGCCUCCCAAAGUGCUGGGAUCACAGGCGUGAGUCACCAUGCCC
rnacentral:lncRNA from 1 species